UGGGGAAUAUUGCACAAUGGGCGCAAGCCUGAUGCAGCCAUGCCGCGUGUAUGAAGAAGGCCUUCGGGUUGUAAAGUACUUUCAGCGGGGAGGAAGGGAGUAAAGUUAAUACCUUUGCUCAUUGACGUUACCCGCAGAAGAAGCACCGGCUAACUCCGUGCCAGCAGCCGCGGUAAUACGGAGGGUGCAAGCGUUAAUCGGAAUUACUGGGCGUAAAGCGCACGCAGGCGGUUUGUUAAGUCAGAUGUGAAAUCCCCGGGCUCAACCUGGGAACUGCAUCUGAUACUGGCAAGCUUGAGUCUCGUAGAGGGGGGUAGAAUUCCAGGUGUAGCGGUGAAAUGCGUAGAGAUCUGGAGGAAUACCGGUGGCGAAGGCGGCCCCCUGGUCAAAGACUGACGCUCAGGUGCGAAAGCGUGGGGAGCAAACAGG
rnacentral:rRNA from 1 species